GACGAACGCUGGCGGCGUGCCUAAUACAUGCAAGUAGAACGCUGAAGGAGGAGCUUGCUUCUCUGGAUGAGUUGCGAACGGGUGAGUAACGCGUAGGUAACCUGCCUGGUAGCGGGGGAUAACUAUUGGAAACGAUAGCUAAUACCGCAUAAGAGUAGAUGUUGCAUGACAUUUGCUUAAAAGGUGCAAUUGCAUCGCUACCAGAUGGACCUGCGUUGUAUUAGCUAGUUGGUGGGGUAACGGCUCACCAAGGCGACGAUACAUAGCCGACCUGAGAGGGUGAUCGGCCACACUGGGACUGAGACACGGCCCAGACUCCUACGGGAGGCAGCAGUAGGGAAUCUUCGGCAAUGGACGGAAGUCUGACCGAGCAACGCCGCGUGAGUGAAGAAGGUUUUCGGAUCGUAAAGCUCUGUUGUAAGAGAAGAACGAGUGUGAGAGUGGAAAGUUCACACUGUGACGGUAUCUUACCAGAAAGGGACGGCUAACUACGUG
rnacentral:rRNA from 1 species